UAGGGAAUCUUCCGCAAUGGACGCAAGUCUGACGGAGCAACGCCGCGUGAGUGAAGAAGGAUUUCGGUUCGUAAAACUCUGUUGUUAGAGAAGAACAGCGCAUAGAGUAACUGUUAUGCGUGUGACGGUAUCUAACCAGAAAGCCACGGCUAACUACGUGCCAGCAGCCGCGGUAAUACGUAGGUGGCAAGCGUUGUCCGGAUUUAUUGGGCGUAAAGCGAGCGCAGGCGGUCAAUUAAGUCUGAUGUGAAAGCCCCCGGCUCAACCGGGGAGGGUCAAUGGAAACUGGUUGAAUUGAGUGCAGAAGAGGAGAGUGGAAUUUCAUGUGUAGCGGUGAAAUGCGUAGAUAUAUGGAGGAACACCAGUGGCGAAGGCGACUCUCUGGUCUGUAACUGACGCUGAGGCUCGAAAGCGUGGGUAGCAAACAGG
rnacentral:rRNA from 1 species